UUCAUAAGAUGACUGAAAGCAAGUUCUGGUCUCUUAAACCAUAUAAUAGUAUUUAGCGAAUACUUCUUAUGAAAGGUUUAGUUAAUUCAUAACAUUAGAGUGUCAGACUAAAAUUACCUAGAGGUAAUCUUUAAUCCCUCAAAUAGUACCUAUAAGAUGA
rnacentral:tRNA from 1 species